rnacentral:rRNA from 1 species
GUUUGAUUAUGGCUCAGGAUGAACGCUAGCGUAACGCUUAACACAUGCAAGUCGAACGGAUUCUGCGUUGUAGCAAUACAUAGUAGAAUUAGUGGCAAACGAGCGAGUAACACGUACUUAACUUGCCCCUAAGAUGAGAAAAACUAUAGAGAUAUAGCUAAUUCUCAAUAUGCUCACGAUGGUGAAAUUCCGAUGUGAAGGAAAGAUUUAUCGCUUAGGGAGAGGGGUGCGUCCUAUCAGGUAGUUGGUGGGGUAACGGCCUACCAAGCCAAUGACGGGUAACCGGUCUGAGAUGAUGUCCGGUCGCGAUGGGACUGAGAUACGGCCCAUACUCCUACGGGAGGCAGCAGUGGGGAAUAUUGCACAAUGGACGAAAGUCUGAAUGCAGCGAUUACGCGUGAAGGAUGAAGCAUUACGGUGUGUAAACUUCUUUUUUGGUGGAAGACGAAUGACGGUACACCAAGAAUAAGAGACGGCUAACUACGUGCCAGCCGCGGC